rnacentral:ncRNA from 1 species
GAUGACGAACGCGGGAGUCCCGGGACCGGGGACUGAGAGUGGGCGCGCGUACCUGCCCUUACCGUCGCACCUGAUCCGGGUCAUGCCGGCGAAGGGAUGGGAUGUUGUCAGAGCUG